rnacentral:rRNA from 1 species
CGUUCAGGCCGUAUCAGCCUGAAGGGCCCGAUCUUGUCUGAUCUCGGAAGCUAAGCAGGGUCGGGCCUGGUUAGUAUCUUGGAUCGGGAGACCACCUUGGGAAUCCCGGGUGCUCGAGGCU